ACAAUGGCUGGAUCUACUUUGAAACACGUAAUGCCUUCAAUAUGGUAAUCACUGAAGAUAAUGUAUGGAAGAAGGGAAGUUAAAAAAUCAUCUGCUCCGAGUGUCAGAUAGCCUGAGCACAUCGCCAACCCUCCUCCCUCUUCCAAUCCUUUUCUGAAUUGCUCGUGGCCUGUGACGUCUGCCGCUGGUGCUGUGCGCUGGGACUGGUUCCCGUGCAAGAUUGUCAACUGUGUGUCAAGACCCGCUCUGGAUUGUGGGAUUAUUUGUCCUGUAUCAUACUCAGAGGACAAGGAAAAUCCCAUUCCCCAUUCUGUUACAAAUGCCGGGUGACCAUUUGGAUUUCCUCUUCUACAACCUGCACGUUGCUAUCUUCUGACCUUUGUCUUUUCUGACAAAGCAUCGGGAGCUCUCUGCAGGUCACAGACCAGUUACCAAUUCGACCAUUCCGCUGGCAAGUUAGCAAAAGCUUUUAUCUUUUUAAAUGCCCGAAAAAAAUUAAAAGAAGAAGAAUAUGAACCUAAAUGUCUGUAUCCAUAAAGUUUUAUUGGAACAUAGCCACGGUCAUUAGUUUCUGGGUGGUGUGUGGCCAAGUCUGUGCUACACAGGCUUGGCUUGCGUGGUUGCAUCGGAGACUGUACGGCCCUUGAACCUCAUGUACUUACUGUCUGGUCCUUUCUAGAAAAUGUUCGCCAGCCCCACCGCAGACAGUACCAUUGUCAGAUGUGUUGCCCAUGCGUUUUCCCAACCUGCCCUUUAGCUGUGUGGUUUCUUCUACUAAAAGUUUUAUAUUUUGUGUGUCUGUCUUUUCCUUUAUGGCUUUUUUGGUUUCUUGCUCUCAGUAAGGUGUCCCCAACCUAAGUCUAUGUUAAUAUUCUUCUAAUUUUUCUUUUAUUAAUUUAAUUGCUUCAUGUUUUAAUUUAGAUCUCUCCUCUACCUGGAAUUAAUUUUAUUUACAAUGUGAGAAAGGAUUUAGUUUUGUUUUCUGACAAAUAGCCCAUAUGUCAGUUACGCUUAGUUAAUAACACAUUCUCCAACGGAACUGAACUGUGAUCUUUUCAUAUCUUAGGUCCUCAUAAACACUUAGAUAUUUUUCUGGAUUUUUAAAUUCUGUUUUACUGAUUUAUUGGUUGCCUGUUCUGUGUCAAUAUAACAAUGUUUUGAUUAUAGCAGUAUGUGAACUAGGUGUUUUUUUUCUGUGACAUGCAGCUAGAUCUCAGAAUCACAGUGGCUGGGACAGAACAGAAGUGAAUUUCUCUGUCAAAUUAAUCCCAGAACUAGGCAGCCCAGGGCUGAUCACAUUCAUCAGACUGGGUCCUUCCAUCCUUCUGCUCCACAGUCCUCGCAUCAGCCUUCGGGUCACCUCAGAGUCCAAAGUGACUUCUGGAAUUUCAGCCACCAUAUUCAUAGUUCGAGUAAAAGGAAAGCUGAGUAAAAAAAGGCUUUUCCAAGCCUUUGUCUGUUCCUUCCUGAUGACUUUUAGAUUCAGUAAGUUGCAUCCGACAGGAAUCAGGCGGGGCAAACUGCUUUCCUCCUAUUGUAGAGCAACUUCACGUUUAGCAAUUAAGCAGAACCUCUGAGUGCAGUUGUGCAGGCGGUUCACUGGGCGCAGGAGCCUGUCCAGACGGGUGUGGAUGGGUGCUGAGCUCGAGCCCGUGUUUGCUGGCCCACCUGUGCAGCCUGCCAUGAAGGGGACAUCGAGGGAGCUGUGUGGGUCUCCGUGGAUCAUGUGAACAUUGGAGAUGAACUCUGCUUCUCUCUUUAGCACUCACGGAAGGGCAAGCCACGGUGGCUCAUUUUCACUGUGUUCCCCCUGCCUCCCCCCACCCCGCCCCUGCCCCAUUCGUCAAAGAAGAGCCGUGCUUCUCCGGCCCCUCUCCCUCAGGGCUGGCGAGCGGGUGGGGAUGGCGGCGGAGGAGGGGUGCCGUUCUCUUUUUGACACAUUUCACCCUGAGCCCCAGCAGGAGGCGCGCCAUUGGCUCCGUCGCUGGAGCUUUCUCGGGCCAGGGGACAGGCAAGUUUAACAAAUCCAAAUGUUCGCCUGGCUAAUUCUGGGAAUGGUAUGCGCUUCGUUAAGGUAAAGAUUGAUCUUUGUUAGGGAAAAAAUACCAGCCUAGGACAUGACUACCUGCCAUGAACUGCUUUUAGUUGGAAAGUUUUAAUUCCAGACCGUCCCGUGGGUUUUCCUGAGGUCUCUGCAUUUGUAAGGCUGCCACACAGGCCUCCCCUGAGCCGGUCAGGUUCCACGUGCGGCCCCUUUUCGCCCACCGUUUCCACCUGUUUACAUCAUGUUAGGCAAAAAUUUGGGAAGAGAAUAAACUAUCAACAUUAUGGUAAAACAAA